rnacentral:rRNA from 1 species
GACGAACGCUGGCGGCGUGCUUAACACAUGCAAGUCGAACGGAAAGGCCCUGCUUUUGUGGGGUGCUCGAGUGGCGAACGGGUGAGUAACACGUGAGUAACCUGCCCUUGACUUUGGGAUAACUUCAGGAAACUGGGGCUAAUACCGGAUAGGAGCUCCUGCUGCAUGGUGGGGGUUGGAAAGUUUCGGCGGUUGGGGAUGGACUCGCGGCUUAUCAGCUUGUUGGUGGGGUAGUGGCUUACCAAGGCUUUGACGGGUAGCCGGCCUGAGGGGGUGACCGGCCACAUUGGGACUGAGAUACGGCCCAGACUCCUACGGGGGGCAGCAGUGGGGAAUAUUGCACAAUGGGCGGAAGCCUGAUGCAGCAACGCCGCGUGCGGGAUGACGGCCUUCGGGUUGUAAACCGCUUUCGCCUGUGACGAAGCGUGAGUGACGGUAAUGGGUAAAGAAGCACCGGCUAACUACGUGCCAGCAGCCGCGGUGAUACGUAGGGUGCGAGCGUUGUCCGGAUUUAUUGGGCGUAAAGGGCUCGUAGGUGGUUGAUCGCGUCGGAAGUGUAAUCUUGGGGCUUAACCCUGAGCGUGCUUUCGAUACGGGUUGACUUGAGGAAGGUAGGGGAGAAUGGAAUUCCUGGUGGAGCGGUGGAAUGCGCAGAUAUCAGGAGGAACACCAGUGGCGAAGGCGGUUCUCUGGGCCUUUCCUGACGCUGAGGAGCGAAAGCGUGGGGAGCGAACAGGCUUAGAUACCCUGGUAGUCCACGCUGUAAACGGUGGGUACUAGGUGUGGGGUCCAUUCCACGGGUUCCGUGCCGUAGCUAACGCUUUAAGUACCCCGCCUGGGGAGUACGGCCGCAAGGCUAAAACUCAAAGGAAUUGACGGGGCCCCGCACAAGCGGCGGAGCAUGCGGAUUAAUUCGAUGCAACGCGUAGAACCUUACCUGGGUUUGACAUGGAUCGGGAGCGCUCAGAGAUGGGUGUGCCUCUUUUGGGGUCGGUUCACAGGUGGUGCAUGGCUGUCGUCAGCUCGUGUCGUGAGAUGUUGGGUUAAGUCCCGCAACGAGCGCAACCCUUGUUCACUGUUGCCAGCACGUUAUGGUGGGGACUCAGUGGAGACCGCCGGGGUCAACUCGGAGGAAGGUGGGGAUGACGUCAAGUCAUCAUGCCCCUUAUGUCCAGGGCUUCACGCAUGCUACAAUGGCUGGUACAGAGAGUGGCGAGCCUGUGAGGGUGAGCGAAUCUCGGAAAGCCGGUCUCAGUUCGGAUUGGGGUCUGCAACUCGACCUCAUGAAGUCGGAGUCGCUAGUAAUCGCAGAUCAGCAACGCUGCGGUGAAUACGUUCCCGGG